GGUGAACGCUGGCGGCGUGCUUAAGACAUGCAAGUCGAACGGCAGUCUUCGGACUGUAGUGGCGCACGGGUGAGUAACGCGUAACUGACCUACCCCAAAGUCGCGGAUAACGAUUCGAAAGAAUCGCUAAUACGUGAUGUGCUGUCAGAUUGUGUUCUGCCAGUAAAGAUUGAUUGCUUUGGGAUGGGGUUGCGUUCCAUCAGCUAGUUGGUGGGGUAAAGGCCCACCAAGGCGACGACGGAUAGCCGGCCUGAGAGGGUGGCCGGCCACAGGGGCACUGAGACACGGGUCCCACUCCUACGGGAGGCAGCAGUUAGGAAUCUUCCACAAUGGGCGAAAGCCUGAUGGAGCGACGCCGCGUGAGGGAUGAAGGUCUUCGGAUCGUAAACCUCUGAAUCAGGGACGAAAGACACUUCGGUGGGAUGACGGUACCUGAGUAAUAGCACCGGCUAACUCCGUGCCAGCCGCCGCGGUAA
rnacentral:rRNA from 1 species